rnacentral:rRNA from 1 species
CCUGGUUGAUCCUGCCAGUAGUCAUAUGCUUGUCUCAAAGAUUAAGCCAUGCAUGUCUAAGUGCAUGCCAAAUGUUGUUUGAAACACAAAUGUCUCAUUAAAUCAGGUUAUGGUUCCUUAGAUCGUACCCACAUUUACUUGGAUAACUGUGGUAAUUCUAGAGCUAAUACAUGCAAACCAGAGUUCCGACCAGAGAUGGAAGGAACGCUUUUAUUAGAUCAAAACCAAUCGGUGGCGGGCUUUGCUCGUCCACCGUUUACUUUGGUGACUCUGAAUAACUUUGUGCUGAUCGCACGGUCUCGUACCGGCGACGCAUCUUUCAAAUGUCUGCCUUAUCAACUGUCGAUGGUAGGUUCUGCGCCUACCAUGGUUGUAACGGGUAACGGGGAAUCAGGGUUCGAUUCCGGAGAGGGAGCCUGAGAAACGGCUACCACAUCCAAGGAAGGCAGCAGGCGCGCAAAUUACCCACUCCCGGCACGGGGAGGGAGUGACGAAAAAUAACGAUACGGGACUCAUCCGAGGCCCCGUAAUCGGAAUGAGUACACUUUAAAUCCUUUAACGAGGAUCAAUUGGAGGGCAAGUCUGGUGCCAGCAGCCGCGGUAAUUCCAGCUCCAAUAGCGUAUAUUAAAGUUGUUGCGGUUAAAAAGCUCGUAGUUGAAUCUGUGUCGCACGCUGUCGGUUCGCCGCUCGCGGUGUUUAACUGACAUGCUCGUGAGACGUCCUACCGGUGGGCUUAGCUCCUUCGGGGGCGGUCCAACUAAUAUCCCAUCGCGGUGCUCNNNNNNNNNNNNNNNNNNNNCUGGUUGAUCCUGCCAGUAGUCAUAUGCUUGUCUCAAAGAUUAAGCCAUGCAUGUCUAAGUGCAUGCCAAAUUAAGGUGAAACCGCGAAUGGCUCAUUAAAUCAGUUAUGGUUCCUUAGAUCGUACCCACAUUUACUUGGAUAACUGUGGUAAUUCUAGAGCUAAUACAUACAAACCAGAGUUCCGACUAUAGAGAUGGAAGGAACGCUUUUAUUAGGUCUUCUCUUAGUCAAAGUUUCUUUUCAUCAUUUUGUGUCGACUCGUCUUCGUUGACGCCGUUUACGCCCUUUAAGUAUUUCUUAUAAAAUGACUUGUGAAUACCGACGGUCGGUACUGUUGAGUCCCAACUGAUCAGUGGUGCCAUCUAGCUCCAACUGAUUACAACUUAUUCUAACAAGUCCCAGAAGCUGUGCCAUUUGUCUCCAUUUGCUUCCUAACCUCUUCGUUUUCUACAAUUACUUCUCUUAUCUUCGAAAAAAAACUAAGUAAUCCUCUCACUGAAACUUCUGCAAACACUUUCAUACCGUAAGUAGGCUCCACUUUUUCGAUUUGCAAUUAAACUUUAGCUUGUACGAUUUAAUAAUCUACCAAUUUUUCGAAAAAGAACCGAAUAAUGCCGAAUACACAAAGGACUAUAAAAAAUCAGUUCUGAAUACAAAAAAUUGCGAUUUAAAAUCUA